ACGGGGUAGACGAACCGGUCUGGAACGGCCGGCCAGAGAAGGUGAGAGCCCUGUAGUCGAAACUUCGUUCCCUCCCGAGCGGAUCCUGAGUACGGCGGGACACGAGGAAUCCCGUCGGAAGCAGGGAGGACCAUCUCCCAAGGCUAAAUACUCCCUAGUGACCGAUAGUGCACCAGUACCGUGAGGGAAAGGUGAAAAGCACCCCGGGAGGGGAGUGAAAGAGAACCUGAAACCGUGUGCCUACAAGUAGUCAGAGCCCGUUGAUGGGUGAUGGCGUGCCUUUUGUAGAAUGAACCGGCGAGUGACGAUGGCGUGCGAGGUUAAGCCGGAGAGGCGGAGCCGCAGCGAAAGCGAGUCUGAACAGGGCGUGUGAGUACGUCGUCGUCGACCCGAAACCAGGUGAUCUACCCAUGUCCAGGGUGAAGGCCGGGUAACACCGGCUGGAGGCCCGAACCCACGCACGUUGAAAAGUGCGGGGAUGAGGUGUGGGUAGGGGUGAAAUGCCAAUCGAACUUGGAGAUAGCUGGUUCUCCCCGAAAUAGCUUUAGGGCUAGCCUCGGGNNAAGUGCACGUUCAGUGGAAAAGGAUGUGGAGUUGCAAAGACAACCAGGAUGUUGGCUUAGAAGCAGCCACCAUUUAAAGAGUGCGUAAUAGCUCACUGGUCGAGUGACUCUGCGCCGAAAAUGUACCGGGGCUAAACGUGCCGCCGAAGCUGCGGGAUGACCGUUGGUCAUCGGUAGGGGAGCGUUCUAAGGGCAGAGAAGCCAGACCGGAAGGACUGGUGGAGCGCUUAGAAGUGAGAAUGCCGGUAUGAGUAGCGAAAACAGAGGUGAGAAUCCUCUGCGCCGAAAGCCUAAGGGUUCCUGAGGAAGGUUCGUCCGCUCAGGGUUAGUCGGGACCUAAGCCGAGGCCGAAAGGCGUAGGUGAUGGACAACAGGUUGAGAUUCCUGUACCACCUNNAUCCGGAAGUCCCCGAUUUCACACUGCCAAGAAAAGCCUCUAGCGAGGGAAGAGGUGCCCGUACCGCAAACCGACACAGGUAGGCGAGGAGAGAAUCCUAAGGCGCGCGGGAGAACUCUCGUUAAGGAACUCGGCAAAAUGACCCCGUAACUUCGGGAGAAGGGGUGCUCUUUGGGGUGAAGAGCCCUGAAGAGCCGCAGUGAAAAGGCCCAAGCGACUGUUUAUCAAAAACACAGGUCUCUGCGAAGCCGAAAGGCGACGUAUAGGGGCUGACACCUGCCCGGUGCUGGAAGGUUAAGGGGAGCGCUUAGCGGAAGCGAAGGUGCGAACCGAAGCCCCAGUAAACGGCGGCCGUAACUAUAACGGUCCUAAGGUAGCGAAAUUCCUUGUCGGGUAAGUUCCGACCCGCACGAAAGGUGUAACGACUUGGGCGCUGUCUCAACGAGAGACCCGGUGAAAUUAUACUACCUGUGAAGAUGCAGGUUACCCGCGACAGGACGGAAAGACCCCGUGGAGCUUUACUGCAGCCUGAUAUGGAAUUUUGGUAUCGCUUGUACAGGAUAGGUGGGAGCCUGGGAAGCCGGAGCGCCAGCUUCGGUGGAGGCGGCGGUGGGAUACCACCCUGGCGGUAUUGAAAUUCUAACCCGCACCCCUUAACGGGGUGGGAGACAGUGUCAGGUGGGCAGUUUGACUGGGGCGGUCGCCUCCCAAAAGGUAACGGAGGCGCCCAAAGGUUCCCUCAGAAUGGUUGGAAAUCAUUCGGAGAGUGCAAAGGCACAAGGGAGCUUGACUGCGAGACGGACAGGUCGAGCAGGGACGAAAGUCGGGCUUAGUGAUCCGGUGGUUCCGCAUGGAAGGGCCAUCGCUCAACGGAUAAAAGCUACCCCGGGGAUAACAGGCUGAUCUCCCCCAAGAGUCCACAUCGACGGGGAGGUUUGGCACCUCGAUGUCGGCUCAUCGCAUCCUGGGGCUGUAGUCGGUCCCAAGGGUUGGGCUGUUCGCCCAUUAAAGCGGUACGCGAGCUGGGUUCAGAACGUCGUGAGACAGUUCGGUCCCUAUCCGUCGCGGGCGGAGGAAAUUUGAGAGGAGCUGUCCUUAGUACGAGAGGACCGGGAUGGACGCACCGCUGGUGUACCAGUUGUCCCGCCAGGGGCACCGCUGGGUAGCUAUGUGCGGACGGGAUAAGCGCUGAAAGCAUCUAAGCGUGAAGCCCCCCUCAAGAUGAGAUUUCCCACCGCGUCA
rnacentral:rRNA from 1 species